rnacentral:misc_RNA from 1 species
UGGUGAUUGGUUUAUUUGGUUGAUGGGCUCCGUGCUUGUGCAUUGAACCGUUGACCAAUAUGCCUCUUCAAUGUUUGCGCCAAGAGCUAUUUGGAGCCUUGGGUGAGUAUCGGUUUUCUGUGUUGCAUUCCAAUCGAAGGUACUCUUCCCGGUAACAUUAUUGUUUUUCGCCUAGUACUCUUAUGGGUGCCUGGUGGACCAAUGUAGCUAGAUUCGUUCCCCAGAUACAUCGGUGAGUUCAUAGUCCCGUUGUUAUGGUGUACGAUCCCUAGUUGUGCCCUGGGAUGCAGAAAGUUUGGUGGGGAUAGGCGUUCGCUUUAUCCCUAAUUAAGCAUUUUAUGCUAAGCAUGAACGACAGUCGUUACGAGUUGGACUUCCUUGCAAAGGGAGGGCCCAUGCGUACCGGUGUCGAUCGAGGAGUGCUACCUGGUUGAUCCUGCCAGUAGUCAUAUGCUUGUCUCAAAGAUUAAGCCAUGCAUGUGUAAGUAUGAACUAAUUCAGACUGUGAAACUGCGAAUGGCUCAUUAA